AGGGAGGAGCUGCAGACAGGUGAGGGAAGGUGAAAGUAGGAAGGCAGACUGCCAGACACCAUUUUACAGCUCGACACGAGGAGAACAACAGGACUGGAGAACAUGAGUGAUUUAAAAGAAGAGGACAAAUCUCCAGUCUCCAGGUGUCUGUCUCUGAAGAGUGUCCGGUCUAUGACUCCACCUCUAAACUUCAGUAUUGAACCUGGACCCUCAGACACAAAACAGAGAGCAGAGUCUACGGUCUCCAUGUGGUCUCUGAAG